GCCCUAGUGGCAUAAUGGUCAAGCAUUCGGCUGCAAACUGAAAGGUUGGUGGUUGGAACCCACCCAGUGGCU
rnacentral:tRNA from 1 species